rnacentral:lncRNA from 1 species
AAUAGAGGAAGGAGAUCCUUCCGGAGCCAGAGACGGAGAGCCGGCGGAAGAAGAUGUUGGUGCCAUUGAUCCCGACGGUGAAGAACCCGGAGCAGAGGACGGAGGUGAUGGAGGAGAAGUCAUCGGAGAAACAGGGGAAGAAGACUCAGGUGACAUAGAUCCCGGCGGAGAAGUCACCGGAGCAGAGGACGGAGAAACAGGGGAUGAGGACUUAGGUGACAUGGAUCCCGGCGGAGAAGUCACCGGCGCAGAGGAGGGAGAAACAGGGGAGGAUGAUUUAGGUGGCAUAGGCGCUGGUGGAGAAGUAGCCGGAGAAACAGGGGAAGAAGAAGACUUAGGUGGCAUUGAACCUGGCGGAGAGUUUCCCGGCGUGGAGGCUUGAGGAGGCGGAGUCGAAGUUCUGACAGACAAGACAACGACGGUCCGAUCCAUACGAUUCGGAUCGACCGAUCUUCUCCUGAAAUCGACCGCUCUACCUCACCCGGAUCGACCGAUCUCUUACAUGGAUCGCCCUUUCUUGAUCGGGUUCUUGGUGUUACAUCCGUCGUAGUCAGCUUUGCUGACCUCUAGAACAGAGUCAGCUCCCUUGGCGUAGUUAAAAUCUGCAAGAAAAAUAAUCAAACUGAGUCUCGGACAAAAACUCCACCAAAAGUAACUACUCCAUGACAAGUAAGAAAGAAUAGUUUACAGAGAGUGUCGUGUACUAGGAAACGGCUUUUUCCAGCCCAAGAUCCAUAAUCUUCCGGGGGAUUUGGAACCCACGCGCCGCUACCUCCGACUCCGAACCUCCGUGCGUCGGAGAUGGUUGAGAAAGAGAGGAGGGCCGUGGAGAAGAAGAAGAAGAAACAAAGGCUUUUGGUUCUUGGAAACUCCAUGGUUAUGAGACAAAUGGGAUUGUGUGUGUGAGACUAUGGAUAUAUAGAAAUAGGAAUAGGCUAAAGGAAAGUGAAGUGAAGCUUUUUGUCUUUUAGAUAGGGGAGAUGUAACGUCUAUGGUAAUACGUGUUUAAAAAUUGAAUCUCGUGUCAGUCUUCGUUAAAAGAAGAUACUUUCUUCUUGUAUCCCCACCGACGUGUUUAAUUUUUUUUUUUUUGGGAUUUGAAAAUCUUAUAUCCUUUUGGUAAAGGAAACAAACAUUUGGUACUACGAGUUUAUUACGCGUUUAGAGAGCUAUAGAUUGUGACAAAAGAAUCGGAUUCAAACACCAAUCUCAGAAGAAGUAAUGUUCAUUCUUGAGGAUAUAUGUCUAACAAUCGAAUCAUAUACUUCCAUUUAGCAUGUAUAUGAGAAUAAUGUAAAGUCUAUUUAUAUCUGCAUCUGGUUCCAUUUUCUCUUUUAGAGAAAGUUUUAUCUUUACGAUGCAUGCGAUCAUUAUUGUAGUUGUAGAGAAUAUCUGAAUACAAAGAUUUUGAAUUGUGGACUGGGCUUAGGUAUGGGCCAUGAGUUUGAUUUCUCAAGUGCCUACUUCUUUACACAUUGAGUUACAACAACAAUGCUAAAUAUGUUGUUGUUGGUAGUAUCAUUACCAUCACUAGCCUCUCGUUGAAGACUUGAAGUAACAGAAGUCUAAACAGAUUGAUGCAUCAUGCAUAUAAAGAAUAUUGAUCGAAGAAUGAUCAAGGGUUUCAUAUUUGAUCAUACAGAUGGUAAGGUCUCCAAUGUGCCAAUGAGGCAUGCGUCUGACGACUCAGCCAAAUAUGGAUUAAACGAGGCAUCCAUGUAUUGUAGCAAAUAAGGAGCGGAGAUGCAAGCUAGAGAAUGCAGCAGUGGGUGUUGAGGAUAGAACGGUUAAAGGCCAAAAUCAGUUACCAGCAGGGGCGGAUCUACAGUGUUAGGUUCGGGGGCUAUAUUAUUUAAAAACCAUUGGAAUAGCUGACUAUGGUAGAUUAGUUGGUAAAGUUGCCCCUGGUAAAAUCCUGCUCUUCACGGAUUCGAAUCAACACAUAAGUGUUUCAUUAUGGGACACAUUUUGCACUUCUUAACAGUUUAAGGUACAUGUUGUUGGAAGGACACUUUUUUCAUGAUUUGAUAAAUUUCGGACCAAAUUAUCCUUCACUGGUAGAACCGAAAUAUGAAGCUUAUUAGAGUUUUUUUUUUUAAUUAUGUCUAGUUAGUGGGGACCAAAGUGUUAUUAGAUUUCAUUUCCUAUUUUAUUUUUAUUUUCUCAGAUUUUAAGAUACACAUAAAAUAUAAUUGUUACAAUAAAUUGUAAUUUCUUUUUCUUGAUAUUUUAAGAUAUAUUUUCAUAUAUAUAUUUUAUAUAUUUUUAAAAUUAUAUAAAAAUACAUGGAUAUAAAAAUUGUGGACGAAAAAUGUUGUCCAAGAACUAAAAAUGUUACAAAGAAAUAAGAUGAAAGAAACAUACACAACAAUUAAAAUGUUAUCCAAGAACUAAAAAUGUUACAAAGAAGUUAGAUGAAAGAGGCACACACAAGAUGAAGAUAUAUGUGUGUGAAUAUAGACAAAAGUAUUGUGGACAGACGAGUGUAGACGUCGGGGUUGUGGACAAAAAUAAACAGAAAACAUGUGGAUGUGGAUGGCUGUGAGUUCUGCCCAUGAGUUUUACCAGCAUACCUCAGAACCAUUUUCCAAUUCCAAAUCACCGACUUUCAAACCUAUGCAAAUCACCAUCUUUCAAGCCCUAAUCUCAAUUAUAUCUUGGAAUGAUACCAAUCUCUCUCCAAAUACAGAUUCACCAUGUAAAUUUCUAUUAUCCGCCACCACCACUGUAUUUACCCCGUUCUUUACCCUAAACUUUGUCUUGUAUCCAAAAGUUCUUCCAGUUUCCUCUUUGCGAAAUUGCGGCCAUACAGCACCAGUUUUUUACUUUGAUUUUGCCAUGCUUUGAAAUAGUGAGAAAGAGGCGAGAAUAAUCGUCGAAGAAUAUCAGAAAAUUGAACAACCAAACUCAUGGAAAAGAAAUGAAAAGAUGGAGAUGAGAUUACAGAUUCAUAAUCGGCGGAGCAACCGAUUCUUGGUGUUAUACGAGAAACUGAGGAUGAAGAAGAAGAGGGUUCGAGGAGAUUAGAGUUAGAAAUUGGUGUUUGAGAAAUUUGGGAAAGCAAAUCUGAACUUUGAAAUAAAGUUGGAGAGAUAGUAUAUGUUAGUUUUCGAGAAGUAUAAAACUGGUUUAUACAUUUCUUUUUUUUUAAUUAUUUUUAAUUGAUAAUAGUUGAAAAAAGACAUUUUAGUUAGAAGAUAUAUGAUUAGAAAAGAAUGUAGUUAGUUUAGGGACAUAAAUGACAUUGCACAAAGAGGAAAUGUUGUUCCAACAAAAAGUGUUUUUUUGUGCAAUUUGAAAGAUAAAAAGUGUGCCAAGAGUAAAAAAUUCUUUUAUUAUUGAGAAGUUAACAUUAAAGGACACUUUAUGACUUUCGUUUGCAGUAGAAGAUACAUUGUGGUAGUAGGACAUAAUGUUGGGACAGCUGUAUUAAUCUGGACCAAAAAGACCUUACACUUGUGAUAGAAAGAGAAUGUCUCCUUUAAAGAAUCAACCGUAAAGAAACCAAAUUACUUUCGGAUUGUAAUAAAUGAAAAAGUUUCGAAAUUAAAAGUAGGUAUGGGUUUAUGGGAUUCUUUUGGGACGUUGGAUUAGCUUUUAGUUACAAGAUCUAAUGACUGAGAAACACUUAUCAGUUUUAGUCUUAAGAUUUAAUGGCUGAGGACAAAUCCAUGGAUGUGGAUAUAGGUUUGUAGAUAGAUAAAUGUUAAGAGAAUGGGUUAUAGACGAGAAUAAGGAAACAAAAAGAUAUUUAAUUUGACUUUAUUUUUUUAAGUAUUUUAGUUUCGCUCAAUAGUUUUUCUUUGUUAUUAUCUCGUAUUAUGAUAUGUAAAUUUAAUAUAUAAUAUAUGUAGUAAAUUAUAUUUUUUUUUCUUCUAUGUUUUGAGAUCCAUAUGUAUAUAUUAAUUUUGAUAUUUUACUUUUUAUAAAAUUUAAAAUUGAAUUAAGUGGACACAUCAUUGUGGACAUUGUGUUGUGGACAAUGUGUUGUGGACAAUGUGUUGUGGAUGGUGCAAUUUUAACAUAUUCAUAUUUUAAUUUUUAUAAAAUAUAAAACUGAUUUAAGUGGACACACUAUCAUGGACAAUGUAUUGUGGACAAUGCAAUUUGAGAUAAUGUAUUGUGACGACAAUGCAAUUUGAAAGAAUGUAUUGUGACAGUGCAGUUGAAAAGAAUGAGUGAUGGACAGUGCUAGUUAUGAAUGGUGUGUAUGUGGAAGUGUAUGUGCAGUUUGAAAGAAUGAGUUAUGGACGGUGCUAGUUAUGGAUGGUGUGUAUGUGGAAGUGUACGUUGAUUCGUAUAUAGUUUAUUAGUUAUUCAUGUAUUUCUGAACAGGUUUGGUACAUUGUGAAACAGAGUGGUAUGUUGAUGGAUCGUCUUGUUUGGUUGGGAAAAUGAGCUCGGACUGAGCUCAUAUUUGGCAGGAACCUUAUGGACUCGUGGAUAUAUGUUCAACUAUAAGGAGAGAGGGUCUGGAGUUCGGGAACAUGGAAAACGAGCGGUACAACGGAUCUGUCCAAAGUUGAGAAAAUGAAAACUUGUCAUCAAGUGGCUAAGGUGAGGGAUUUAUGGGACCAUAGUUCAUAUUUUUCUGUUAUACUACAUGAGUUAUAUUAUGUAGGCUUAGAUCUGAUUGUUAUUUAGGAAUUCUAUGAUUAUAUGAUUAUAUGGUGAAGGUUGCAAAGUGUGUUACACUUAAUAAGGUUAACUUUACUUGCUAUCUCCUUGGACUUGUUAUUAGUGAAAUUGUUAUAGGGAACAUUGUUUUGAGAUGGUUAAGCUUUCUCAUUUGCUUGUCUAGUGUAUUGGUCUAUGCCUUGGUUUGUUUGAUUCCUUGUAUCUUUAUUGUAUCCUCCAUUGAUGGAGUUGAACUCUUCUAUAUUUCAAUGAAAGUAGUUUGAUAAAAAAAAAAGUAGGUUUUAAAGUACAUUUAAGUUUCAAUGAAAAUAGUUUUAAGAAACCUUAAUUAAGAAACUUGCAUUGGAGCACAUAAAUAUUCAAAUCUCUUAACUAAGUCUCUUAAUUCACUAUUACUACUUAAAAGUAUUAAAAAAAAAUAAGAGACUCAAAAUGGAUCUUUGGGAUAACGAUGCUCUAAAGACACCAAGGCACCUAGUCUCUGAAGAGACAUUAACUAAUCAGAGAGAAAAAAACAAAUUUAGGUUUCACGAAAUAUUAAUUAAUUAGUCAUGUCCUCUAUUGCUUUUGGAAACAAAAAGGGUGUCAUUUCUCAGCUUUGACUACUACAUGACUAGAGUCUAGAUUAGCUGAAUCUGAAUCAAUAGUACAAGGUAAAAAUAUAUAUACACAGUCAACCAAUGUUACACAAAUUUACAAACUACCUUAAGAAACAAACUUCAGUUUCGAAAUUACGGUCUUAAAUGCGAACAAAUCACAGAAGCAAUGUAUACGCUGUUUCUAGCCGUCUGAAGUAUCGCGGUCAUUUUGUUAUUUUGUUAACAGUUAAAUUAUACUAAUAUAUUCAAAUCAUAAAAACAAGUUCACCAAUAGCAUAAACAUAUUAUAAUUCAUGUGGAAACAAGAGAGUAGUUAUACGAGCAAUACAUUUUUUUAUAUGAUAUAUCAUCAAAAUAUAUCUACAGUAGAAACUAUCUAAAUUAAUCUAAUAUAAAAACGAUAAUUUAGAGAGUUGCAAUUCAUAAACGAAUUAUUGAACCAAAUUUACGUUGCAUAAAGGCUAAAUUAAAGCAAUAUGUUUUUGUUUUCUUCAUCAUUAGCAUACUUUAAAGAUGGUACUCCAGUGAUCGAUUCUUCAAAUUGUUUUGUCUUGUCUUAUUCUAAGUGAAGUUGGUGGAACCUCUCUUUUUAUGUUUUCUGUUAUUAUAAAUUUUAACUAGCCACACAUUCAAUUUUUGAGGUAUUUUUAAUUUUUCAAAAUAUAUACAGUUAUUUUAGAAUGUACAUAUAAUAAUAUCCUUUGCACAUUAGUUUGUAAAAUUUACAGAAAAUCAAAUACUUUUACCACUUCAAACGUUUACGUUACUUAUAUAAUAACAUAAUCGUAUACUGUAAAUUCAUUUCAUUUCUUUAAUAUUUUUACUACUUUUUCUAAUAUAUAUGUGAUGCUUAAAAUAUAUGAGUGAUAUUUUGGAAUAGGCUCAUUUAACUCAAUAUCAGAUUUAUUUUCAUAUAUAUAUUUUAUAUAUUUUUAAAAUUAUAUAAAAAUACAUGGAUAUAAAAAUUGUGGACGAAAAAUGUUGUCCAAGAACUAAAAAUGUUACAAAGAAAUAAGAUGAAAGAAACAUACACAACAAUUAAAAUGUUAUCCAAGAACUAAAAAUGUUACAAAGAAGUUAGAUGAAAGAGGCACACACAAGAUGAAGAUAUAUGUGUGUGAAUAUAGACAAAAGUAUUGUGGACAGACGAGUGUAGACGUCGGGGUUGUGGACAAAAAUAAACAGAAAACAUGUGGAUGUGGAUGGCUGUGAGUUCUGCCCAUGAGUUUUACCAGCAUACCUCAGAACCAUUUUCCAAUUCCAAAUCACCGACUUUCAAACCUAUGCAAAUCACCAUCUUUCAAGCCCUAAUCUCAAUUAUAUCUUGGAAUGAUACCAAUCUCUCUCCAAAUACAGAUUCACCAUGUAAAUUUCUAUUAUCCGCCACCACCACUGUAUUUACCCCGUUCUUUACCCUAAACUUUGUCUUGUAUCCAAAAGUUCUUCCAGUUUCCUCUUUGCGAAAUUGCGGCCAUACAGCACCAGUUUUUUACUUUGAUUUUGCCAUGCUUUGAAAUAGUGAGAAAGAGGCGAGAAUAAUCGUCGAAGAAUAUCAGAAAAUUGAACAACCAAACUCAUGGAAAAGAAAUGAAAAGAUGGAGAUGAGAUUACAGAUUCAUAAUCGGCGGAGCAACCGAUUCUUGGUGUUAUACGAGAAACUGAGGAUGAAGAAGAAGAGGGUUCGAGGAGAUUAGAGUUAGAAAUUGGUGUUUGAGAAAUUUGGGAAAGCAAAUCUGAACUUUGAAAUAAAGUUGGAGAGAUAGUAUAUGUUAGUUUUCGAGAAGUAUAAAACUGGUUUAUACAUUUCUUUUUUUUUAAUUAUUUUUAAUUGAUAAUAGUUGAAAAAAGACAUUUUAGUUAGAAGAUAUAUGAUUAGAAAAGAAUGUAGUUAGUUUAGGGACAUAAAUGACAUUGCACAAAGAGGAAAUGUUGUUCCAACAAAAAGUGUUUUUUUGUGCAAUUUGAAAGAUAAAAAGUGUGCCAAGAGUAAAAAAUUCUUUUAUUAUUGAGAAGUUAACAUUAAAGGACACUUUAUGACUUUCGUUUGCAGUAGAAGAUACAUUGUGGUAGUAGGACAUAAUGUUGGGACAGCUGUAUUAAUCUGGACCAAAAAGACCUUACACUUGUGAUAGAAAGAGAAUGUCUCCUUUAAAGAAUCAACCGUAAAGAAACCAAAUUACUUUCGGAUUGUAAUAAAUGAAAAAGUUUCGAAAUUAAAAGUAGGUAUGGGUUUAUGGGAUUCUUUUGGGACGUUGGAUUAGCUUUUAGUUACAAGAUCUAAUGACUGAGAAACACUUAUCAGUUUUAGUCUUAAGAUUUAAUGGCUGAGGACAAAUCCAUGGAUGUGGAUAUAGGUUUGUAGAUAGAUAAAUGUUAAGAGAAUGGGUUAUAGACGAGAAUAAGGAAACAAAAAGAUAUUUAAUUUGACUUUAUUUUUUUAAGUAUUUUAGUUUCGCUCAAUAGUUUUUCUUUGUUAUUAUCUCGUAUUAUGAUAUGUAAAUUUAAUAUAUAAUAUAUGUAGUAAAUUAUAUUUUUUUUUCUUCUAUGUUUUGAGAUCCAUAUGUAUAUAUUAAUUUUGAUAUUUUACUUUUUAUAAAAUUUAAAAUUGAAUUAAGUGGACACAUCAUUGUGGACAUUGUGUUGUGGACAAUGUGUUGUGGACAAUGUGUUGUGGAUGGUGCAAUUUUAACAUAUUCAUAUUUUAAUUUUUAUAAAAUAUAAAACUGAUUUAAGUGGACACACUAUCAUGGACAAUGUAUUGUGGACAAUGCAAUUUGAGAUAAUGUAUUGUGACGACAAUGCAAUUUGAAAGAAUGUAUUGUGACAGUGCAGUUGAAAAGAAUGAGUGAUGGACAGUGCUAGUUAUGAAUGGUGUGUAUGUGGAAGUGUAUGUGCAGUUUGAAAGAAUGAGUUAUGGACGGUGCUAGUUAUGGAUGGUGUGUAUGUGGAAGUGUACGUUGAUUCGUAUAGGUGAUGACCAUGAUCUACUAAAACAACUAACCAUUUAGAACAAUAACAUUGAAAAUAAAGACACACACUGAUAUAGUUCUUUUAAAAGAGAAGAACAACAAAUAAUCAUUUAUGACAACAUGCUCAAAACAGCUUAACAUUGAUGAAGUAAUUCUUGAUACAACAAAACAUAUAUUGAUGAAAAUUUUCCAAGUCUAGGUGUGUGCACCUAUCUUUGAUUCCUCACCACUUCACAAUUUGUCUGACCACUGCUCGUCACCCAACCACAUAACCCCCAUCCACACAUCGCCCGAACACACACUAUGCAACAACUCCACUCCUGACCACACAUCAUCCGUCCACCUAACCUCUGACCAGGAAAUAACAUUGAAAAUAAAGACACACAGUGAUAUAGUUUCUUUAAAAGAGAAGAUCAACAAAUAAUCAUUUAUGACAACAUGCUCAAAACAACUUAACACUGAUGAAAUAGUUCUUGAUACAACAAAACAUAUAUUGAUGAAAUUUUUCCAAGUCUAGGUGUGUGUACAAGAGAGAUGUGGAGUUGUGUGGUCAGGAGUGGAGUUGUUGUGAAGUGUGUGUUCGGGCGAUGUGUAGAUGGGGGUUAUGUGGUUGGGCGACGAGCAGUGGUCAGACAAAAUGUGAAGUGGUGAGGAAUCAAGGAUAGGUGCUGCGGACGGUAUGUUCUGAUCACUGCUGAGAGGGGCAUAUUGCUGGAGCUCAUAUUGGCUGACUACAGGAAAUUGAGAACCGACAUAGACGUAUUUCCUCAUCUGGACAUCAUGUGAAUGUAACAGCAUAAGAGCGAAUUACAUAAACUUGUUCAUGUGACUACGUAGAGGCUUACACAAUAUGAAGAUAUAUGUGUGUGGAUAUAGACAAAAGUGUUGUGGACAAAUGAAGUUGUACGAGUUUCGUGGACCCAAUAAUCUUGAAUAAAGAUUGUUGAAAGACAAUGUGCAAUAAGACUUGUUUUUACAACUUUUUCCAAUCAUAUAGUUCGCUGUCUUGUCUCUGAUUUAAAACAGAAAGAAGUAUAUACAAGGUUAUUAAUCCUACAAAAAGUUUCGUGGGCAACUUCUUGUGGACGAGUUCUUUUUCAAUUUCCAGCUCUCCGACAUCCAUUUCAAUGCACCAUGAGAAGAAACAGAGUCUUUGAGUGAAACGGUGUUUCUGGAUGGCUCCGCCGUGUGAACUGCCAUGACGAGGUUAACGGACUUAGAUUUGACAGAGUGAUGAACAGUGAAGGAGGAUUGACGGUUGACGUGACGGUGAGAAAGGCCGCCGUAGAGAGAUCUAGUGGAGAGAGAGGAGGCGUUGGAAAGCUAUUGAUUUUUUUUCUCUGAGUUUGAUUUGAUUUUUAGAAAGAAAAUGAUAUGAAGACGAUUGAUGAAAGAAGAACAAUUUAUAAUUAUAAGAAGAGAUACAGAUGAUUUGACCGAAAAAAAGAGAUACAGAUGAAGACAAUUAAUGAAAGAAGAACAAUUUAUAAUUAUAUAGAGAAAUACAAUAGUUGGUUCGUGUCUUUUAAGAAUUUUUUUUCAGAUAAAUCUGUAAUAAAACGAAAAACCCAUAAAUCUGUCAAAAAAGUUAGAAGUCAGUCACGUACAUUGUUUAGUUGAAAUAUAUAAGUUAGCUUUAGAAAGUUAAGUUGGAAGGUAUAAUAGACAAAGAAUAAGAUGAAAGUGUGUCUUAUGUGGGAAAUGACUCCAUGUAAUUGAUAAGUAAAAAAAUGUCUCUAAGUGUAAUUUUCUCUUUAUUAUUUUGUUUGGCAUGUCUAAUCUUGUUUUUAUUUCCCUCUCAAUGUACAAUUUAUUUGAUGUUUGACACGUCUACUCUUAUCGUAUCUUUCUUUACAGUUAUAACUAUAGCAUUUUCCCUACUUCAUCCUUUGUAUUUUUGUUUUCAUAGUUUUCUAUUAUUUUUUAUAUAUUUAUUUCGAUUGCAAGUGCUUACACCACAUUUAAAUACUUUUUUAUCCACAUCUUAAGUACUUUUUUAAUAUUAAACAUUCACAAUUGUUCGUAAAUAAAACCAACCAUUUAAAAUAAUAAAUGAUCUAUUCAUUUUUAUUUCAUAUUUUAGAGUUUAGUUUGUAUGAUAUGAUGAAAAAACAAGUUAUGUAUGAUAUUGAUAUAUUUUUAUAUAUAUGUAAACUUGAAGAAUAUUUUCUACUUAUUUUCAAGUGUAAUAGAAUUAUUGUGAUUAAUAACAUUUGCAAAGAAGUUUAAGAACUUUUAAAGUUAUUUUAUAAAAAAAAUCCUGAGUUGAAAAACUUAACGUUAAUUAUUUUCACAUUCUGUAGAUGAUUAUUGUUAUGAUUAGUAGCUUUCAAUAUUUUCAAUAGAUUAUUACUUUAUACUUUAUAAAUUAAAUAAAUAUAUUAUUAAUUAUAGGCUCCCGUCAAAUAUUUGGUCUGGAUCCGCCGUUGGUUAGCAGGAUGAAAAUAUAAACGUAGAUGAUGUUAUAACAUACAUCAAUAUCAAUUUAUGUUAGAUACCGCGGAGAUGCAAGUAGAAAGCAAGUUGUCGUGAGAAAUCCUACUAGUGAUGGGGGUAAUAAAACAAUUGUAUAUCAUCUACUCAAGUAGUCUAUAUUCUCACCAUUCAUCAUAGACUUUCUCUUUUACUUAUUACAAAUUGUGAUUUGAGAUGAUGUCUAACAAUUCACACUUUCUUAAUCUACCAUCUAGCUUUGCUGCUGUUGUGGUUGUUGUUUGUCUGAGCUACCAAAACUGCUAAUGAAUCUCAUAGCCAAAUCCAAAAUUACUGUCUUGAUGCAGUCUUUAUCUUCCUCGAGAAGGUUUCUUGGAGGGAGUGAGCUUCCUGAACCCGGCGUGUAAUAGCAUAACUACAAAGAGACACAGAGAAAGCAUUAUAGUCAUAACUGCCUGGCCAUAUAUAGAGUAGCUAAAUCGAACUUUGACCCAUCAGCUAGCUUAGUUACCUGAAUAACUGACCGCAAGAGCAGAGAAAAGAGCCAUUUGGACAUUCAAAAACGUCAGAAGUACCGCAGUCGCUGCAAGUAGGAGACGUAAAAAAAAAACGAGAUUAGCCUCAUUCUACAACAUACAUAGUCUAUCUUAAAAAAGUUUCAGCUUCUUCAAGAUCCCAAAACGUUCUUGCUAUAACCAUACAAGAUCACAUUCGACCCAACUUUCAAAACAUAACAUCAAGCUCUAGUGAUUAAAGCUAAACAAGUAAAUCUAGGGAAUGAUUUGAUCCAAAAAGAUCCCAAAAACCUAUAGAAAGUCCCUCUAUGAACACAUAUCAAAACGUUCUCAGCAUUCUGAGAUUCAAGUUGCAGAGCUACAAAUGCAGGACACAAACCGUUCCUUAAAAACUCACCGCACUGUCCAAUACCAAUAACGAGCUUCCGAGCAGAAGGGUGACGAUCAAACUCCCAUCUGUCACUGCAGUACUUGAACAGCUCCCAAAGUGCUAAACUUGCUAACAACCCCACCAAUGCAAGUGGCAUCUGAUACCUACAAAGAAACACCAACACUUCAAACUCCAUAAAGUUCUUAACUUUUUACAAAGAUUCAGACUUUAAACAAAAGAGAUAAAGAAACCCAUACAAUGCGCAAGCGAAGAAGACGAUGAACAACGUUGCGUAAUUCCUAGCGAAUCUCUUGAUAUUCUCAUGAACCCUCAUCCUCGCCUGCUGAGAAGACGCCGGGAACGAGUAUGAGUCGCACGCCCCGAAGAAGCCGGUGGUCCACGGCGGCGUAUCGCCUGAAAAGUCAUCGGCCGAGAGCUUGGAGAAGGGGUUGAUAGUCAGAAGAGACGAGAGGGUCAACAGACGAGACAAAAGAGAGGCGAAGAAGCCGCCGGUAAUGGAGGAGACGACGUCGUCCGAGGCGGAAGAAGGUGCGGCGGCAGCUGAGGAGGAUGAGGAGGAGGCGGGGACGGCGGCUGCAGCUGCUGCGGCGGAGGUGCGGUGAUCGAGGAGGUCGAGGUAGCCGGAGUCACGGAGCCAAGAUUCGAAAGCAGGAUCGGGAACGCUUAGAGAGAGAGGGUUGGGAGAGAAGGCCAUUUGUUGUUAGUUGUGGUCGUCGUCACGAUUAUCUUGUUCCGUCGUCUCCUCGGUGUUCACAAAACAUUUAUUUUGUCUUUUACAUAUAUUAGUCCAUAACUUCUUCGCAAUUGCUGAAGUAGUGCUCUUUGAUAAAAUCUUGUUAAUUAGCUCCUACAGUUUUGUUUUAUGCAACAAAUGAUUUGCUUCUCUAAAAUACAUAUUAUUGAAUACAUGUAUAUUGUUUUAAACAUUUCAUUUCAUUAGUUAAAAGUAUUUUAUGUUAAAAAGUAACUUUAGAGCAUUAUUAACCCAAAAACUCACUCUGGGUCUCUUAAUGAUUUUUAAAUAUUAAAUGUUACUUAGGAGAUCCAGUUAAGAGACAUCAACAUUUUUAUGCUCCAAUGGAAGUCUCUUAUUUAGGGAUUCUUAAAAAAAAAACAUUGUUUUUGAUUAUUGUAUAAUUUGUGAUCAAAAUGUAUGAAUUUGUGAUAAAAAUGUAUAAAAUUUUUUUGAUUAUUUUCUGAACAUGAGAAGAAUGGUAAGAGAAGAAAAGUUAUAUGUAUUGUAAGAUGCACGAGAAGAAAAGUUAUCAUGUAGAGAAUGGAGACACAGAUGUUGCAGGCUCCUCAGCUAUGGUUGGUUUCUUUGGAGGCACCGAGAGAGAUCCUCAAGGAAAGGUCCUUUAGCAGUAGGCACAUACACAGUUGCUAUGAGGAUAGUUCGAUUCUAUCACCACCAGCCACAAACUCUUCAUGGACGGCAAGUUCUCAUCUUUGUUGCAUUUAUCUGUAGCAAAUAUCAAGACAAAAGAUUAAAUAUGAGAAAUAUGGAUUAGGCAAAGCACUAAACUAAUCUUCACCUUUCGGUUUCCCGUAAUCAAAAACGAACAUCAAAAGAGCAUUAGCUCUCACACGUUGGAGAAUGUUCAUACCAUAAGCUAAACCAUGCUAACACUCCAUCCUCUAACCAAGCUAGACAAAAUGAUGGUAAGAUUCCAUUCUCGAUAGAAAGCUUCUCCAUUUUAUCAACCAUCCCAAUCUCGUUGUUUGUGAUCAAAGAAACAGAAGCACCAAAGCAAAAAAUCUAAUCCCACAUGAACUAACCAACCAACCAUAACAACCAUAAGCAAGCCUGCAUCACACCAAACCACCCAAUAACCUCAGAUAAAUAAAGCUGUCACAAGGACUUACGUUUUGGAUGUUCCUAUAAGAAUCAAGUGAUUAAAUGAGCCUGAUCUGCUGCUAUCACCAUUCUCUGACUCUACUACUACUACUACUGCUGCUACCCCUUUCUCAGGGUCUUUAUCACCAAACUUCUCACUAAUAGAGGGAUAUCCAUUGGCAUCUCGGUUUGGUGAUGAAACCUCAUCGGCUCUAAUCUCUUUGAUCUCUUCCUAUACCUCUGCUUUAUCCACCUGAAAAGGACAAAGAACCAAAGAGUUUAGAACUCAAGAACACUCAACAAUCUUUUGUAAACAAAGAAGAGGCAAUCAGAGUAACCAACUAACCAAAGCCGAGAGAAACUCAAAAGCUUAUACCAAAAGAUGGAGCCAUAUCCGAUUAUAAAGUUCAAAUUGGAAAGGAACAAGUAAAAAAGACAAGAACUUGAACAUAGACUAAAGGAGAAAUCAGAUUCAUACAAACAAGCAUUGUGUCUAAAUCCCAGAGUUUCAGUUCUCAGACCACUCGCCAGAUAAACGUUAAGCUGGAAAGAAAACUAACCAUAUAUCUAACACCAAUUCAGAUCGGAAUCAGGUUCGGGAUGGCCUUGUGGAUUCAUCAUCGGGAGAGAAUACUUUUUUAUCCACAUCUUAAGUACUUUUUUAAUAUUAAACAUUCACAAUUGUUCGUAAAUAAAACCAACCAUUUAAAAUAAUAAAUGAUCUAUUCAUUUUUAUUUCAUAUUUUAGAGUUUAGUUUGUAUGAUAUGAUGAAAAAACAAGUUAUGUAUGAUAUUGAUAUAUUUUUAUAUAUAUGUAAACUUGAAGAAUAUUUUCUACUUAUUUUCAAGUGUAAUAGAAUUAUUGUGAUUAAUAACAUUUGCAAAGAAGUUUAAGAACUUUUAAAGUUAUUUUAUAAAAAAAAUCCUGAGUUGAAAAACUUAACGUUAAUUAUUUUCACAUUCUGUAGAUGAUUAUUGUUAUGAUUAGUAGCUUUCAAUAUUUUCAAUAGAUUAUUACUUUAUACUUUAUAAAUUAAAUAAAUAUAUUAUUAAUUAUAGGCUCCCGUCAAAUAUUUGGUCUGGAUCCGCCGUUGGUUAGCAGGAUGAAAAUAUAAACGUAGAUGAUGUUAUAACAUACAUCAAUAUCAAUUUAUGUUAGAUACCGCGGAGAUGCAAGUAGAAAGCAAGUUGUCGUGAGAAAUCCUACUAGUGAUGGGGGUAAUAAAACAAUUGUAUAUCAUCUACUCAAGUAGUCUAUAUUCUCACCAUUCAUCAUAGACUUUCUCUUUUACUUAUUACAAAUUGUGAUUUGAGAUGAUGUCUAACAAUUCACACUUUCUUAAUCUACCAUCUAGCUUUGCUGCUGUUGUGGUUGUUGUUUGUCUGAGCUACCAAAACUGCUAAUGAAUCUCAUAGCCAAAUCCAAAAUUACUGUCUUGAUGCAGUCUUUAUCUUCCUCGAGAAGGUUUCUUGGAGGGAGUGAGCUUCCUGAACCCGGCGUGUAAUAGCAUAACUACAAAGAGACACAGAGAAAGCAUUAUAGUCAUAACUGCCUGGCCAUAUAUAGAGUAGCUAAAUCGAACUUUGACCCAUCAGCUAGCUUAGUUACCUGAAUAACUGACCGCAAGAGCAGAGAAAAGAGCCAUUUGGACAUUCAAAAACGUCAGAAGUACCGCAGUCGCUGCAAGUAGGAGACGUAAAAAAAAAACGAGAUUAGCCUCAUUCUACAACAUACAUAGUCUAUCUUAAAAAAGUUUCAGCUUCUUCAAGAUCCCAAAACGUUCUUGCUAUAACCAUACAAGAUCACAUUCGACCCAACUUUCAAAACAUAACAUCAAGCUCUAGUGAUUAAAGCUAAACAAGUAAAUCUAGGGAAUGAUUUGAUCCAAAAAGAUCCCAAAAACCUAUAGAAAGUCUCUCUAUGAACACAUAUCAAAACGUUCUCAGCAUUCUGAGAUUCAAGUUGCAGAGCUACAAAUGCAGGACACAAACCGUUCCUUAAAAACUCACCGCACUGUCCAAUACCAAUAACGAGCUUCCGAGCAGAAGGGUGACGAUCAAACUCCCAUCUGUCACUGCAGUACUUGAACAGCUCCCAAAGUGCUAAACUUGCUAACAACCCCACCAAUGCAAGUGGCAUCUGAUACCUACAAAGAAACACCAACACUUCAAACUCCAUAAAGUUCUUAACUUUUUACAAAGAUUCAGACUUUAAACAAAAGAGAUAAAGAAACCCAUACAAUGCGCAAGCGAAGAAGACGAUGAACAACGUUGCGUAAUUCCUAGCGAAUCUCUUGAUGUUCUCAUGAACCCUCAUCCUCGCCUGCUGAGAAGACGCCGGGAACGAGUAUGAGUCGCACGCCCCGAAGAAGCCGGUGGUCCACGGCGGCGUAUCGCCUGAAAAGUCAUCGGCCGAGAGCUUGGAGAAGGGGUUGAUAGUCAGAAGAGACGAGAGGGUCAACAGACGAGACAAAAGAGAGGCGAAGAAGCCGCCGGUAAUGGAGGAGACGACGUCGUCCGAGGCGGAAGAAGGUGCGGCGGCAGCUGAGGAGGAUGAGGAGGAGGCGGGGACGGCGGCUGCAGCUGCUGCGGCGGAGGUGCGGUGAUCGAGGAGGUCGAGGUAGCCGGAGUCACGGAGCCAAGAUUCGAAAGCAGGAUCGGGAACGCUUAGAGAGAGAGGGUUGGGAGAGAAGGCCAUUUGUUGUUAGUUGUGGUCGUCGUCACGAUUAUCUUGUUCCGUCGUCUCCUCGGUGUUCACAAAACAUUUAUUUUGUCUUUUACAUAUAUUAGUCCAUAACUUCUUCGCAAUUGCUGAAGUAGUGCUCUUUGAUAAAAUCUUGUUAAUUAGCUCCUACAGUUUUGUUUUAUGCAACAAAUGAUUUGCUUCUCUAAAAUACAUAUUAUUGAAUACAUGUAUAUUGUUUUAAACAUUUCAUUUCAUUAGUUAAAAGUAUUUUAUGUUAAAAAGUAACUUUAGAGCAUUAUUAACCCAAAAACUCACUCUGGGUCUCUUAAUGAUUUUUAAAUAUUAAAUGUUACUUAGGAGAUCCAGUUAAGAGACAUCAACAUUUUUAUGCUCCAAUGGAAGUCUCUUAUUUAGGGAUUCUUAAAAAAAAAACAUUGUUUUUGAUUAUUGUAUAAUUUGUGAUCAAAAUGUAUGAAUUUGUGAUAAAAAUGUAUAAAAUUUUUUUGAUUAUUUUCUGAACAUGAGAAGAAUGGUAAGAGAAGAAAAGUUAUAUGUAUUGUAAGAUGCACGAGAAGAAAAGUUAUCAUGUAGAGAAUGGAGACACAGAUGUUGCAGGCUCCUCAGCUAUGGUUGGUUUCUUUGGAGGCACCGAGAGAGAUCCUCAAGGAAAGGUCCUUUAGCAGUAGGCACAUACACAGUUGCUAUGAGGAUAGUUCGAUUCUAUCACCACCAGCCACAAACUCUUCAUGGACGGCAAGUUCUCAUCUUUGUUGCAUUUAUCUGUAGCAAAUAUCAAGACAAAAGAUUAAAUAUGAGAAAUAUGGAUUAGGCAAAGCACUAAACUAAUCUUCACCUUUCGGUUUCCCGUAAUCAAAAACGAACAUCAAAAGAGCAUUAGCUCUCACACGUUGGAGAAUGUUCAUACCAUAAGCUAAACCAUGCUAACACUCCAUCCUCUAACCAAGCUAGACAAAAUGAUGGUAAGAUUCCAUUCUCUAUAGAAAGCUUCUCCAUUUUAUCAACCAUCCCAAUCUCGUUGUUUGUGAUCAAAGAAACAGAAGCACCAAAGCAAAAAAUCUAAUCCCACAUGAACUAACCAACCAACCAUAACAACCAUAAGCAAGCCUGCAUCACACCAAACCACCCAAUAACCUCAGAUAAAUAAAGCUGUCACAAGGACUUACGUUUUGGCUGUUCCUAUAAGAAUCAAGUGAUUAAAUGAGCCUGAUCUGCUGCUAUCACCAUUCUCUGACUCUACUACUACUACUGCUGCUACCCCUUUCUCAGGGUCUUUAUCACCAAACUUCUCACUAAUAGAGGGAUAUCCAUUGACCUCUCCGUUGGUUGAUGAAACCUCGUCGGCUCUAAUCUCUUUGAUCUCUUCCUAAACCUCUGCUUUAUCCACCUGAAAAGGACAAAGAACCAAAGAGUUUAGAACUCAAGAACACUCAACAAUCUUUUGUAAACAAAGAAGAGACAAUCAGAGUAACCAACUAACCAAAGCCGAGAGAAACUCAAAAGCUUAUACCAAAAGAUGGAGCCAUAUCCGAUUAUAAAGUUCAAAUUGGAAAGGAACAAGUAAAAAGGACAAGAACUUGAACAGAGACUAAAGGAGAAAUCAGAUUCAUACAAACAAGCAUUGUGUCUAAACCCCAGAGUUUCAGUCCUCAGACCACUCGCCAGAUAAACGUUAAGCUGGAAAGAAAACUAACCAUAUAUCUAACACCAAUUCAGAUCGGAAUCAGGUUUGGGAUGGCCUUGUGGAUUCAUCAUCGGGAGAGAGACAGAGACGAAGAGAUGCAGACGAAGAGAGGAAGAGAAAAGACGAGACUGCCAAUUUUUUUCAUAGCGACACGUGUCUUAAGACACGUCUCUUCCAGGCCUUAAUUAAGAGACGUCUGCUGUGGUAGUUAUGAUUUUUCUUUUUUUUUUAAAUCACAAUUACAUUAAGAGACCUAUCUAAGAGACACGGUUAAUCAUGCUCUUACAUGGUUCCCAAAAGCAACACUAGAAUUUUAAAUUUUAAAUUUUUGAAUAGUAAAACAUCAAAUAUAUGAUUUCACUGUUCAAAACUUCAUAUUUAAAAAUUUCAUAUUUUUAGUCAAAUGUAUUUAUAUAUCUUCUAGAUUAUUUUAUUAACUUUCUUGUUUUAUCAUUCUAAUCGUUAAAAAUUUACUACAAGAAAAUGCUCAAUUCCAAAAAAAAAAAUUAACUUGUAAUAAUUUACAAAAAAAAGGAAGUUCAUAUAUCAUUUUGAAAUGUUUUAAUUGAUUAUAUAUGAAAACAAUGGAAAUAUUUAUAAUGAAUAAAUAUGUAAGUUUUACUAUAAUAUAAUUUUUAAUAAUUGGUUAAUUGUAUAUUUUAUUGUUAUUAUAGCUGAACCAUAAAACCAUAUAAGGCACAACAAGUUAUGUGCUUUGGCUACAGGUUUAAACAGGUGGAAAGGAUCAUAUUCAUAAUCAAACUCACAUUGAAUUUACAAGAGGGGGGCAAAACACAAUGCAGAUAGUAUUGACAAUAUAAAAGUGAUUAUGAACACACGAAUUAUAGUGUGAGAAACACUUGCAGACAAACAUGGACUUUUAAUAUUUGGAAAUAAAAAAAAUCAAAGAAUCACAAGAGGCGCCUCAUCGGUUUUGGCAGGUGCAGUCUCUUGUGUUGGUGGCGUAGUCUCAGAAGGAACUUUCUCAUCUGCCUUCACAGCUUCUGGAGUUGGCUCGGCUUUGGUUGCCUCAGAGGAGUCCUCUUUUGUCUCACCUUCCUUCUUUGCCUCAUCAUUAGACUCUUCUUUCUUCUCCUGUGAAUCAAACAUAUCAUAAACAAUAGUCUUAAGAGGACUGAUUUUCAAGCUAUGAUUAUACCAAAAAAAAGUCUCAAAGAAGAAAUCAAAUCAUAUCGAACAGAGAAAAUAAAUGAUACAAAUGGGAUUCACAAAACCUGAACUAAAGUGGUAUCUGUUUCAUUCUUGGACUCAAUAACAACAUUGUCGGUGGGGACAAGGCUUUCGACGAUGUCAGAUUCCUUAGGUUUGCUCCCACAGGCUCCCAUGGUUUAUUUGAUUGAAAGGAUUAGUUUGAAAAACAAUUACAAUGUGAAGAACCGUGGAGCAAAAAAAAUACUAGAUGAGAGGAGAAAAGAGAACUACUCGAGAAAAUAAGAGAUGCCAAACUAAUUUCUUGCUUUAUAUAAUUGGAGCCUGAGCAAAUGGAAAGGCCUGUGAAGAGAUAAAUAUAGGAGAUGGUAUAUGGACUAAGCUAUUUCAGGUAAAGCCAGAUUCAUUAGUCAUGACAUCUUCAAAUCUCUGUCACAGUCGAUUUACCCAGAGGACAACCAUUUUUCUCCACUGUUCUCUUAUGUUCGGUUAAGGGGCAACGGUUUCUUUUCCCGCUGGAAAUUUCCAAACUAACAAAGGAAUGAGUCACAGAUAACCAGACUUUCAUAUGUAAUUGUUAAGACCAAAUCAUGUGGGAAAACAUUUGGAUGUUCAGAUAUGUUUCCUAUUUGCCAAAUGUCAUAAUAUGAUAUUCAAGCCCUUCAAACGGGGACGACGACAGUGUCUCAUUUUUUUUAAACUGGAAAAGAUGAAUUUUCUGUUCUCUCAGGCACACACAUAGAAAUCUCUCAUUCUUUGUUUGGCUGGCUACUAUGGCUCCUCAGUGCGACUCUGAAGAGAAAAUACUGGUCCACCGGUGUGACCUGGUUUCUCUGUUUCGAAUGUUGUUGAGCCUGAUUGGUUUUUGGAGCCUUCUGAUAUCUCUUUCUCACCUAUGUCUUCCCAGUCACCUUCCAUUGCUGAUGUUUCUUGGUGUUCACUCUUUGGACCUUGGUUGACAAGGCUUUUGUACAUUGUUAAAGCUUGAGCAAUCAUGCUUGCAGGAUUUGAAGCUGUACUUGGAAGCAACAUUGUCGUACCCUAAACCCCCAAAAAAAGAAAAAAAAAAAAGCACACUCAACAUUAGAUAAUCCCAAGCAAUGCCAAAAUAUUUUAUAUGAGAUUUGUUUGUUUACCUCCUUGGCAAUGUUACUGAAGGCUUGAAUGUAUUGCUCUGCAACUCUCAAACUCGCAGCCUGCAAAUUGAACAGUGAUGAAGUAUAAGAUCACAUCUGGACGGCUAAAAAUACAAGCUUAAACCCAAGAACACGGAAACCUAUGUCUAGAGUGAAUAAUAAAAAAAUAUGAAGAAUUAAGUAACCAAGCUAGGUUCCUUAAAGCUCACCUCUACUCCCCCAGUUUCUUUGAGAGACUGAGAUAACAUGGCAAGGCCUCUAGCAGUUGCUUCUGCUCUAGCGAGUAUUGCUUCAGCCUCACCUGAAGAACAUUAUCAAAGGAUAAUAUAAGAGUAAGCAUGAGCCGUGGAGAAAACAGUUCCUCUGGGCACCAAGUAGCCAUCAGUAUAUAUUGAAAGAAUAAGAAAAUGGAACUAAGAAUUCUUCUAAUGAACCCAACUAACAGUUGACAUCACAAGUUACUCUAAUGUAUACUAACCUUGUGCUCGAUUCACUUGGUCCAUCUUUGCAGCUUCAGAUGCCAAGAUUACAGAACUUUUCUUACCAUCAGCAAUAUUGAUAUGGGCUUGCCUUUCUCCUGUUAUAUAUAGCAAAACAAAGGAUUAAAAGAUGUUAAGCAGGCUUCUUGUCUUUCAAAUGCAAAAUGGAAAACCCAAAAAGAAAGAAGAAGAUUUUAGCCAAGAAUAGUUUCGGCAUUAUGAGCUGUUCAAUCACAGAAUAUGACUUAUGAAGUACAAGUCAAAGCAGUAUUACCUUCAGACUCAAGAAUCUGGGCUCUCUUUUUACGUUCAGCUUCAGCUUGCAUCUCCAUAGCAACCCUCACGCCAUGAGGGGGCAUAAUAUCCCCUGGAGAUACACGAAUUAUAAAUAAGCAGAAAAGGAUAUGUAGGUAAUCACCAACAAAGAAAAAACAGAGAAGAACUCACUUAUCUCAUAACGAAGACACUGAAGACCCCAGUCUCUUGCAGCAACAUUGAUGGCUUCCUGCAAGAAUGUAAAACCGUCUAAAAAAUUCCAUCACAUGUGUUCUUCUUCAAUGUGUAUAUUUCCUCUAAGCUCUCUUAGUUAUUUGGAUUAGAGAGGUAACACAACUUGGGAUAUUGAACAUAUACAACAUGAGUAAAGUCUUUAGCUUUGAAUCUAAAGUCCUUCAACUUAGCUCAAGUAGAAUCCAAAAACAUUGCCAAAGGUGAUUACAUUUUACAACUAAACAUCCCAAGGCUGCAAAGUUCUAUAGAGAAUAAUAACAGCAAGAAAUUUAAUCAAGCUAACGUGACUUGAGUUUGGGAGAUUUCAAGAUUCUUUGAAAUGCAAUGGAACUGAAGUAUAAAGUGAGUUAAGUAAGCAGAGGGGAACGAACCACAAUCUUCUCGUUGAGAGUAUCUCGUUCCUCAAAGGUCUUAUCAAGCGUGAUCUUACCAAGCUCACUACGCAUGGUGGUCUGAGCCAGCUGAACAACAGCAUAGAUAGGACUCUCAACGCCAUAAGACGCUAACUUAGGAUCCACUAUCUGCAAAACACACAACAAAAAGAAAUAAAUCAAAACUAUAUAAAAAAAAAGCAAGUAAAACCACCAACAAAUGAAGUGGUAGAAGAUGACCUUGACAUAGAGAACGCCGUCGAUAUGGAUACUGACGUUAUCUUUAGUAAUCGCAGUCUGAUUAGGAAUAGGGAUCGCUUCUUCCUUGAGCGAAUGAACAUAAGCAAUUCGAUCCACAAAUGGAAUCAAGAAGUGAAUCCCCGACGGCAAUGUCUUGGCGAAUUUCCCGAAUCGCUCAAUCACAAAGGCCUUCUUCUCCGGUACAAUCCGGACUCCCCAGUUCACCGGCGGAGUUAACUGAAAGCUACAAUGAUAAUAUAUAAAUAUAAUAAAUCAAUCCCCAACUCAAAUCUCAAUUCAGAAAUGAUAAUGCCUCAAACAUCGUUCGCAUGUAGACGAAAUCAUCCUAAGCUGAAAAAAAACCUGUUGGAAGGAUAGCCGGCGGAGGUGAACUGGCGGACGGUUGAUACGGCGGAGGAAGAUUGCCGGAGGUAACCAACGGAUCUCAUGGCGGUGGCGGAACUUUUACGGAGGAGGUGAUUCAUCAUCAUCAAUCAGAGAAUGAAGAAACUGGGGAAAAACCCUUUGGAAGCAAAACCUCGUCGUGGACCAAACAAGGCGUCGUCCCGCAGUUUUCGUGGAGAGGAGCAAAUGUGAAAUGGGUUUGAUUAGUAGUUUGCUAGCUGUUGCUAUUGGGCUCAGAACUAGCCCAAUUGUAAACCAAAGUUUUGCAAUUUUGUUACGGUUUGAUAUUAUAUAGUUUUCUUAUGUUCAUUUCAUUGAUUCUGCCUUGUGUGCACUGUGCGAUAGUCUUUUUUUUUUUUCCGUCUAGUUUUUAUUUUCAUUGAUAACAAAGGAAAAAUACAAGAGUGGAACACUAGAGCCGGCGGAACACAUAACCAUCCCCGGAAACUUAACCCCAACAGAACCAAAGGGGAACAAGAACCCAAACAUACGGGUCACAUACAACAUCGAAAUAUAAAACGAAUCCUAAUGCUCCUUCAAAACACCCAGAACCAAACACUCAAAAGAUACAAGAGUAGUGACUUAACAAAGACUAUGACUAGCCGGAGAACUUGCAAAGAACUAAGCACAAGAACACGCAACGUAGAAGGCUUUUUCGUGAAGAGCAGAAACCUCAUCUGAACCGCACAUUCACGAUGACCACACCCGAACUAUAACGAUCUCAUCUGAACCACAAGUUCACGAUGACAACCAACGAACCACCACGCCAUACCAAAGCAGAAACCAUGAAAACAACAAUCAAAGGAAGACCCAACUCAAACGCACCUUCAUAUGGAAGCCUUCGCACCUCAGCCUCAUUAUACUGCUUCACAAAAGGAAGCCACCAAGGACAUACAAAGAGCAAAAGCAAUAGGGAAGUCACUUAUUAAAAGGGCGGAGGAGGGCCACUUCGAUACCUGGAGAUGAAAAGGUACCCUUGAACCAACUUCAUCACAAAGACCAAAACCUUCACCAGCUCAACACACACCACCACGUCACUGCUACACCGUUGCUAAGUCAAAGACCAACUAAGCCACACUCUCAAAACUAAGAGAUAAGAACCGGAUUCAAACCCUUUCAAAUUGUCACAAAACCACUUGGAACAGGCUGAAGACACAGCCACUGCAAAACAGGAGAGCCACCAAAGCUUGAAUCUUUACCUCGAUUGGAGUUUCAGACGGGGGCCAGAGAAAGAUGCAACCGUAUACACCUCCGACGGACAACCUUCUACACUUCCAGAUCUCCUAAAGUUUCAAAGGAUCUGAGAAAACAGAGGCUCUACAAACCAUUUUACAGAACACGGGUUAAAGAGACAACUUUAAGAGAAGAAGAAGGAGGAGUGAUACAGACAAAACACAGGAAAAAGAAAUGAUUUAGAGAUUAGAUUCGGCGACCGCGAGAAGCGGCGGCCGCCAGAUUAGGGUUUCAACACACA